CUACGGGACGCUCCAGUGGGGAAUUUUGGACAAUGGGCGCAAGCCUGAUCCAGCCAUGCCGCGUGCAGGAAGAAGGCCUUCGGGUUGUAAACUGCUUUUGUCAGGGAAGAAAUCCUUUGGGCUAAUAUCCCGGAGGGAUGACGGUACCUGAAGAAUAAGCACCGGCUAACUACGUGCCAGCAGCCGCGGUAAUACGUAGGGUGCGAGCGUUAAUCGGAAUUACUGGGCGUAAAGCGUGCGCAGGCGGCUUUGCAAGACAGAUGUGAAAUCCCCGGGCUCAACCUGGGAACUGCAUUUGUGACUGCAAGGCUAGAGUGCGGCAGAGGGAGAUGGAAUUCCGCGUGUAGCAGUGAAAUGCGUAGAUAUGCGGAGGAACACCGAUGGCGAAGGCAAUCUCCUGGGCCUGCACUGACGCUCAUGCACGAAAGCGUGGGGAGCAAACAGGAUUAGAUACCCCUGUAGUC
rnacentral:rRNA from 1 species